UGGUGCGUUUAUAUCAUAAUCGCAUCAUUAAACAUUCAAUUUUUUCAUUUCCAAACGCCACCUCAGUUCCCUCCUUACAUUUCGUUCUCGGGCGAUGGCUUUCCCAUUCGAUUUUUUCAUUCCUCCGCGUGAUUCCUUUCCCUUAUAUUAUUUCGUUAUCUCAUCUCUCACCCAAAGGCAGACAACGAAGACACAACAGAUACCAGCGGCCUUCUGCUGCAACCGGCGACUUCCUCCUUGUAUUCCGUUUGUUUGAUGGGUUUGAUAUCCAGCGACACCUUCAAUCCUUUCAUCAGAUGCAUCUUCACCCACUUCAUUGAAGACCACUUGAACGCCUUUUUUCUGUAUCAGCUUCAACUUUUUUUUUUCUCUAUUCGUCUCUUCCACCUGUUUGUAUUAAUUUCAAUUUUGUUUUACUUUUUGAAGAAAUUCAUGGUUUGGAGUGAUCAUCGAGAUAGGGAACACCAAAAAUCGACAGAGUUGAGGAAGGUUUGUUAUUUAUUUUAUCUAAUUUUGACUUUUGGAUUAGUUUCUACAAAUACCAACUGAAGCUUUGUUAUUUUUACUCAAGGAAAGGGGAAUUCUAUAAUUCACAUUGCUAGGGUGAGAUUUUACUCCUGUUGUAUAUAACGUAAACAGAUUUUUUAUACUAAAGUUUAUUUUAUUAAUGUGUGUAUAAUAUCUUCAUAAUCAUAGUGUUUGUUCAUAACUCAAAUAUUUGCUUAACAGAGGUGGAAAGUUUAAGAUAUUGUCAUGAUGUUUUCACUCCUAAAAGAUUCUAGAAACUGUGUCCAACUAUUGGAUGCUUCUAAUAACAUAACAUUCUCUGUAAUGCUAAGACUAUAUGUACUUUGUAUGUUUUAAACACUUUUUUUUCAAACACUUAAAUCUGUAUACUCAUUACAGGAAGAAAUCUGCAGAUUGAAAGUGAAAUCAAUAUCAAGUUAAUGCAUGGCUUUCUUUUCUUUAUCAUUUUCAUUUUGGUUGGGUUUGGUUGUGUUUUCAUAUCAAAGAAUUAAUUGAAUUUCAAAUGGUUUUUUUGACCUUUUUGGAAAGAGGAUCACAACGACCCAAUCCUGUCAUACCCAUAUUUGUUGACAAUUCCGGUGGUUGGACCGAUAAAGUUGAGGAAGCUAGUAGAGAAUGGCUUUCGUGCAUAGUACGUAUGAUAGUAUUGCCGAGUCCUAGUAAAUCUAGAAGGACAAUGUAUUUUACUUCCAUCACUCUUCAAUUGUAAACUUUUUAGUGGAUAUUUUAUGUUAUUUUGGUGACGGUAUAUUAGGAAAUAGAAUCAGAAUAUGAAAGAUUUGUUUGAUGAGUAUCAACUUGCUGAUUUCUUAACACAGCCCGAGAAGUCAAUAUUUUGAGAUUAUAACAUUAAGUUGCAUUUAUUGGUACAUUUAACUCAAAACCAGUAUUGCAUUUAAUGGUUGUUUCAUUCUAUGAUUUAAAGGUGCGUUCAUUUUUUUUUAUAGGAAAUAAAAUGGUAGAACCCUUUUUGUUUUUUGGAGCGGUUUCAUCAUUUUUUGAUGCGAUUUUAUAACUGCAUCAUUAAAUGGGGUUGUUUUUGUUUUUUUUAUGCGGUUCGAUAACCGCACUAAUUAAUCAUUUCCAUCGCAUUAUUAAAUGCUUUCUCUACUAGUGAUAUUGGUAAUUGUGUAAUUUUAAUUUACUUAUUUAGUUUAAGUAUCUUAUAGAUUUUCGCUUUUAUAUUUAUAUUAAUUUAAUUGUUAUCUUGCUUUUGGUUUUUGAUUUGGGUGUGUUAAUAUAAAAGGACAUGAGAAAAAGUUGUUUAAAAUGUCACGAUUCAACCACUUGAUAUUAAAAAGAAUUUCAGCUAUAAAAUUUGUAUUUUUCAAUUUGGUUAAAAAUCAUAGAUAAGUAUAUAUGGUAUCUAACUUUUUUUAUUAAAUUAUACAUAAGGAACCAGAUACUCAUCACUUAGUACUGAAUUAUUAUUGAAUGAAUAAAUAUUUGAGCCGUUGAGAGUGGGAUAUCCAGCAAACCAAUCAAUUAGCAAGUAUCAGGUGCCUUCCUCAUUGAAACAAAGCAUAUAUUACUCUGUAUUUUCUCGUAGAUGGAGAUGAACUGAAAGCUAUUUCUUCCUCCCAAUAUCAUUAGUUCACCCGGAUAAAUAGGAAAUUGAUUGGUCAUUCAUCCUUUCCAACCCCAGUUUAUUUGGAUUUCAUUACUACAAAAACAAGGAUCCAUAAUUAUAAAUUUCAAAUGGGUCAGUCGACACUGCAGCGCGCCCGUGAUGAUGAAAAGUUUCAUUUGAAGCAAGUGAAUUUUGUUUACAAAGAGGACUAUGAGCGCCCCAAGGUUAAGGUUAAGCUCCCCAACCUCAAAACUAGACUCCCCAAGCUCAACAAAGACUCUGCUAUGCCACGCAGCAAUCAGGAAUACCCCUUUAUUUUUCGGGGAUACCCAUUUACUUUGAUCUGAAUCCGUCACCGAUAGAGAAUUGACCUAUACGUAUUGUUGUAUAUAACCAAGUUUAUAUUUUCACCAAGUGAGGGUGUGAGUAAAAUGCCCACCACCAAGUAUAAAAGUAUUUAAACUUGCUGGCUGACCUAAAACCAAACCACCUCAAAAUGCCCCUCCAUGUAAUAAAAGAUUGUACCCAAGAUUUCAACCAAAAAAAUUUCAUCGCAAAGGGUGGUUACGGAAGGGUCUAUAAGGGAAUCCUCACCUCGGCAGAUCAUAUAAACCAACUAGUUGCUGUGAAGAGGCUAGAUGUCAGUGGCUUUAAUUCAAGGUAACAAGGAGUUCCACACAGAGGUUACAAUGCUCUCAGAGUAUAAACACAAAAACAUUAUAACACUUAUAGGGUUUUGUGAUGAUAACGAGGAAAUGAUCCUUGUUUAUGAAUAGGCAAGCCAUGGAAGCCUUGAUACAUAUUUAUGUGGCAGUACAGUGUCGGGUGGACUAUCAUGGCCACAACUCCUCAAAAUAUGUAUUGGUGUUGCAUUUGCAUUGGAUUAUCUUCAUAACCACAUGGCCGAAAAACACAGAAUAAUACAUCACGAUGUAAAAAGCGCAAAUGUUUUGUUGGAUGAGAAUUGGAAUGCAAAACUUUUGGAUUUUGGGUUGGCGAGGAUAGGCUUAGCAAAUCAACAUAACACCAUUGUAAUCACCAACAUUGUUGGCACACAUGGUUAUUGUGACCCACAGUAUGAAAAACAGGGUUUUAUAACAAAAGAGUUGGACGUUUA